AACGAACGCUGGCGGCAGGCCUAACACAUGCAAGUCGAGCGAGGACUUCGGUCCUAGCGGCGGACGGGUGAGUAACGCGUGGGAACGUGCCCUUUGGUACGGAAUAGCCCCGGGAAACUAGGAGUAAUACCGUAUGGUGUCUUCGGACUAAAGAUUUAUCGCCAAAGGAUCGGCCCGCGUUGGAUUAGGUAGUUGGUGGGGUAAUGGCCUACCAAGCCGACGAUCCAUAGCUGGUUUGAGAGGAUGAUCAGCCACACUGGGACUGAGACACGGCCCAGACUCCUACGGGAGGCAGCAGUGGGGAAUCUUAGACAAUGGGGGCAACCCUGAUCUAGCCAUGCCGCGUGAGUGAUGAAGGCCCUAGGGUUGUAAAGCUCUUUCAGCUGGGAAGAUAAUGACGGUACCAGCAGAAGAAGCCCCGGCUAACUCCGUGCCAGCAGCCGCGGUAAAGUCAG
rnacentral:rRNA from 1 species